AACAGGCAGGUGGAGUUCAGCCCAGGGAAGGCACCAGUGUUGCUGGUAGGAAGAGCUGAGGAGCUGGCCGAGACCCUGAAAGUAUCCGUCCGCAGCUGUGAGAGCAGGGUGUCGCCGUGAGUUAGACUCAGCUGUGCUCCUCAGUACACAGCAGAUGAAGUGCUGAAUCCACAGAGGGAAGCAUGAUCCACUGAUGAGGAAGGUACCAGUUUUGCAGUUACCUUUCAGAGUAGAACCACACUAUAAGCUUUGUGCAACUGGAACGCAUAGAGCUGCUGUGGAUGAAGCACAUUAGGACCAACAUAUUGUAAUGCACAGCGGUGAAGUCAUUAUAAUGAACCAAUUGCUCAGGCCACUUUUCUCAUGGAUUUGUUGGAUUUUGGGUUGUUAUAUUAAAGUGAAGAUGUGAGAAUUCUAAA